GGGGGCGGGGCGGUGGGCUGUGAAGCCCAAGAUGAAGGUACUGGCAGACUUGGUCUAGUGCAGGUACUUCCUGGUCCAUAAAGAGUGUCUUCCGGCAGGCUGUGUCCUCCACAAUGGGAGCGACAGGUAGCCCCUUAGGGGGGGGGUCUCUCUCUCUCUUUUUUAGUAAUAAGUAUCGAACUCGGGCCCUUGCGCUCUUUGGGGUCUCUUUUAUGAGGGCACUGGCCUCGUUCAAGACAGCUCUGCCCUCACGACGUCACACCCAAGGCCCCGCCUCCGGAAGCCUUGGUAUGGGGGCGGGGCGCCAACAUUUACAUGGGGUGAGGCUCAAACGUUCAGAUGGUGUGGGUGGGAUUGGAGGAGAAAAGGGCCAGGGCCAGCUUAGGGAAUUCUGUUCUCCUUUUGGGGACCCUACCUGGAUCAAAGAAGACACCGCCAAUGAAGUCUUCCACGAGGUCAGUGCACGUCGAAAGAGCUCGGGGUUGGAUCGGAAGGGACAAGGUGAGUCUCACUGUCGUUGUUAGUGGUGCUGUAUUUUGAUAACUGCACCACUGCUGUAGGGUAAAAGGUGCCCGCCCUCCACAGAAAGAUACACAGUAUCGAGCCCUACCUCCUGGCACCUCUCAAUGUGGGCAUCGGGUCUUUGCAGAUGUAAUUAAGGACCUCAAGGUGGGAUCAUGAUCAUCUGGACUGAGCAGGAACUCUGAAUCCAGGGGGGGGGUUGUCCUUAUAAAAGACAGAAACGGAGAAGACACAGUUAGCAGGGAGGAGGCUGUGCAAAGAUACAGGCCGAGCUGGAACGACAUCCUCACAGCCGAGGAGCCAGGAGGCCCCGGAAGUUGGAAGAGAACAGGAAGCACCUCCCACCCCCACCCCAGAGCCUCCAGAGAGAGCAUGGCCCUACUUGGCUUCCGACUUCCGGCUCCAGAACUGACAGUGUAAGUUUCUGUUGUUUUUAGCUCCUGGUUUGUGGUGGAUUCUUACAGCAGCCCUAGCAAGCGAG
rnacentral:lncRNA from 1 species